GGCCCUCUGGUGGUACGGCCGGCAGUAAGACUGUAAAUCAAUUGUGCAGCAUUCCUGCCCAAGGUGGGACACUCUACAAACUUGGUUCACAACUACGGUUACAUCUUGGAUCUCCUAAGGCCAGUUUCUGAAAUUCUUUAAGUAACAAGUAUGGUCAAACAUUAUGAGAGCACAGAAGAACAACAUAGACUGGCUAUUUUCUUUUCAUGACUAUUGAUUUGUGUGCUAGUCUGUUCUCACACUGCUAUAAAGAACUACCUGACACUGGGUGAUUUAUGAAGAAAAGAGGUGUAAUUGACUCACAGUUCCACAAGCUGUACAGGAAGUAUAGUUGAGAGGCCACGGGAAAGUUAUAGUCAUGGCAGAAAGGUGAAGGGGAAACAAGCAUGUCUCACCACGGUGGAGCAGGAGAAUGAAGAGGUGAAAAUAAAAAGAUGUUUCAAAAUAUUAAUCACCAACCACAAAAUUACAAAAACAUGUGGUGAACUCAGAGCAAGAACUUCAAGCCUGUACUACCACACACUAAGCUUAGUACAAUUUUUACAAAAGACAAAAAUUGAACACUGCAGAUAUUACCGGUAAAAGGAAAGAAAUGAAGAUAGAGAACAGAGCUCUUGGUUUUUUGAACAGUGUGAUAAGAAGGGAGAAAGAAGUUAACAUCUAUUGUAAAAGGAGUGACCAUUCCAUGAGCGUCCUGAGUUCUAGAAGCCUUUUUCUUGGCCAACCAGACCCCUGUUUCUGUUCUAAUUUAAUGAUCAUUCAGUUCUACCAUAUAGGACUGCUAUUCACCCCCACAGGGAAGAUGAGAAGGGCACUGACUGUGAAGUGACAUUAAUUUGAAAGUCAUUUCAAAAGUCUGGUAAGCCAGGUAUCUUGGUUGUCAGCACUUAAUAAUUAGAAAUGUUUAAAUAUAACUCUCUAUUUCCACAUAGAGUUUGAUCUCUUAUUCAAAUAUUAACUAAAUGCAAGGGGAACUUAAUCUGGGAGGCUAGAAAUAAUGAAUCCAUAAUCCUGAAAUUUCCUCCCUCUACUUCCCACUUUUGUUUUCUAUUCUAGUCUAGGAAACAAGCACUUUCACUCAACUUCAG
rnacentral:lncRNA from 1 species